GGCUUGUCUUGGCAGAGGUAUAUUUGAUAUUGUAGUGUUGCCAUCAUUGGUUUGUUCUUUCGUUUGCUCAUACGUUAUUUCGUCGUACUCUGCAAACUCCUCUUCUGAAUUUGUUUGUUCUGCACUGAAGCUUGUAUUGGUAUAAACAUUUUGUUGUACGGUUGCCAUCUUGUUGUCUUACCAGAAGCAAUCUACAGUAGAAA
rnacentral:lncRNA from 1 species